rnacentral:rRNA from 1 species
UGGGGAAUAUUGCACAAUGGGCGCAAGCCUGAUGCAGCCAUGCCGCGUGUAUGAAGAAGGCCUUCGGGUUGUAAAGUACUUUCAGCGAGGAGGAAGGCGUUGUGGUUAAUAACCGCAACGAUUGACGUUACUCGCAGAAGAAGCACCGGCUAACUCCGCGCCAGCAGCCGCGGUAAUACGGAGGGUGCAAGCGUUAAUCGGAAUUACUGGGCGUAAAGCGCACGCAGGCGGUCUGUCAAGUCGGAUGUGAAAUCCCCGGGCUCAACCUGGGAACUGCAUCCGAAACUGGCAGGCUAGAGUCUUGUAGAGGGGGGUAGAAUUCCAGGUGUAGCGGUGAAAUGCGUAGAGAUCUGGAGGAAUACCGGUGGCGAAGGCGGCCCCCUGGACAAAGACUGACGCUCAGGUGCGAAAGCGUGGGGAGCAAACA